UACGGAGGGGGUUAGCGUUGUUCGGAAUGACUGGGCGUAAAGCGCGCGUAGGCGGAUCGGAAAGUCGGGGGUGAAAUCCCGGGGCUCAACCCCGGAAUGGCCUUCGAAACUCCCGGUCUUGAGUUCGAGAGAGGUGAGUGGAAUUCCGAGUGUAGAGGUGAAAUUCGUAGAUAUUCGGAGGAACACCAGUGGCGAAGGCGGCUCACUGGCUCGACACUGACGCUGAGGUGCGAAAGCGUGGGGAGCAAACAGG
rnacentral:rRNA from 1 species